UACGGAGGGUGCAAGCGUUAUCCGGAUUCACUGGGUUUAAAGGGUGCGUAGGUGGGAUGGUAAGUCAGUGGUGAAAUCCCCGAGCUCAACUUGGGAACUGCCAUUGAUACUAUCUUUCUUGAAUACCUUGGAGGUGAGCGGAAUAUGUCAUGUAGCGGUGAAAUGCUUAGAUAUGACAUAGAACACCAAUUGCGAAGGCAGCUCACUACACGGUCAUUGACACUGAGGCACGAAAGCGUGGGGAGCAAACAGG
rnacentral:rRNA from 1 species